GUGUCAGCAGCCGCGGUAAGACAGAGGGUGCAAGCGUUGUUCGGAAUUAUUGGGCGUAAAGGGCGCGUAGGCGGCCUUGUAAGUCAGAUGUGAAAUCCCUGGGCUUAACCCAGGACGUGCAUCUGAUACUGCUCGGCUUGAGUCUCGGAGAGGAUGGUGGAAUUCCCAGUGUAGAGGUGAAAUUCGUAGAUAUUGGGAGGAACACCGGUGGCGAAGGCGACCAUCUGGACGAAGACUGACGCUGAGGCGCGAAAGCGUGGGGAGCAAACAGGAUUAGAUACCCUGGUAGUCCACGCUGUAAACGAUGGGUACUAGGUGUUGCGGGUAUUGACCCCUGCAGUGCCGUAGCUAACGCAUUAAGUACCCCGCCUGGGAAGUACGGCCGCAAGGCUAAA
rnacentral:rRNA from 1 species